rnacentral:rRNA from 1 species
GAUGAACGCUGGCGGCGUGCUUAACACAUGCAAGUCGAACGAAACACCUUAUUUGAUUUUCUUCGGAACUGAAGAUUUGGUGAUUGAGUGGCGGACGGGUGAGUAACGCGUGGGUAACCUGCCCUGUACAGGGGGAUAACAGUCAGAAAUGACUGCUAAUACCGCAUAAGACCACAGCACCGCAUGGUGCAGGGGUAAAAACUCCGGUGGUACAGGAUGGACCCGCGGCUGAUUAGCUGGUUGGCGAGGUAACGGCUCACCAAGGCGACGAUCAGUAGCCGGCUUGAGAGAGUGAACGGCCACAUUGGGACUGAGACACGGCCCAAACUCCUACGGGAGGCAGCAGUGGGGAAUAUUGCACAAUGGGGGAAACCCUGAUGCAGCGACGCCGCGCGAGUGAAGAAGUAUCUCGGUAUGUAAAGCUCUAUCAGCAGGGAAGAAAAUGACGGUACCUGACUAAGAAGCCCCGGCUAACUACGUGCCAGCCGCCGCGGUAAUAC